UACGAAGGGGGGCUAGCGUUGCUCGGAAUCACUGGGCGUAAAGGGUGCGUAGGCGGGUCUUUAAGUCAGGGGUGAAAUCCUGGAGCUCAACUCCAGAACUGCCUUUGAUACUGAGGAUCUUGAGUUCGGGAGAGGUGAGUGGAACUGCGAGUGUAGAGGUGAAAUUCGUAGAUAUCAGGAGGAACACCAGUGGCGAAGGCGGCUCACUGGUCCGGUACUGACGCUGAGGUGCGAAAAGCGUGGG
rnacentral:rRNA from 1 species